UCUUUUCCUUGUGUGCCAGCCGCCGCGGUAAUACGGAGGAUCCGAGCGUUAUCCGGAUUUAUUGGGUUUAAAGGGAGCGUAGGCGGACUAUUAAGUCAGCUGUGAAAGUUUGCGGCUCAACCGUAAAAUUGCAGUUGAUACUGGUCGUCUUGAGUGCAGUAGAGGUAGGCGGAAUUCGUGGUGUAGCGGUGAAAUGCUUAGAUAUCACGAAGAACUCCGAUUGCGAAGGCAGCUUACUGGACUGUAACUGACGCUGAUGCUCGAAAGUGUGGGUAUCAAACAGG
rnacentral:rRNA from 1 species